rnacentral:lncRNA from 1 species
UGUGCACGACCUCGACCAGCUGGUCGCCUGAUCUCGUUUAGCAGGGCAGGAGCCUGUGUUCCCAUUUCUUACUAGCUGGGCUGCCGAUGACCUAGCUCAGCCUUGGUUUUCCUCCGGUUGAACAAAAGCUGGCAAGAGCUGCCUCCCGGAUCGCAGUGAGGACUCUAAGGGAACGAGGGCGAACGCGCUUUGGAAAGCCAGUUGCUGAGCAGAUGGUAAGGGAUCACUUCCAAGAGCCAGGGCUAGUUUCAUUUCAGUCUUGGACACGAGAUGGUCUCAAUGCCUUCAUUAAUGAACAUUCUCCUUAGAAGUCUGGAGAACUGACCCAAGAAGAAGGACCAACAAUUCAGGCUCAGGAAAGCCCACAAUUCCACAGGGGAACCAGGACUGCAUGGCUUCGAAUCCCAGCCCUCCCCACUCAGGAAACAUUGCUCCCCAAACGGCACGGAUUUCUGGACGCCUCCACCUUAAGACAGCUACUUCAGCCAGAACGUGGGACAGGCACUAACGGGAUAUCACCCUUGGGGAUAAACACGCUCCAGUUUCCUGUGGACGGUGGAAGAGGA